rnacentral:rRNA from 1 species
UACCAGCACCCCGAGUGGUCGGGACGUUUAUUGGGCCUAAAGCAUCCGUAGCCGGUUCUACAAGUCUUCCGUUAAAUCCAACUGCUUAACAGGUGGGCUGCGGAAGAUACUAUAGAGCUAGGAGGCGGGAGAGGCAAGCGGUACUCGAUGGGUAGGGGUAAAAUCCGUUGAUCCAUUGAAGACCACCAGUGGCGAAGGCGGCUUGCCAGAACGCGCUCGACGGUGAGGGAUGAAAGCUAGGGGAGCAAACAGG